rnacentral:lncRNA from 1 species
UUCUAGUUUCUAUUUCUGAUUUUUAAUAUUUUUUAUUUUGUCAUUUGAUAUUUUUUUGUGAAUUUUCUCUUUUCUGGUUAUUUUUAAUUCAUUUUAAAUAGUUUUUGAUAUUCAAAAAAUACAAAAAUAUUUUCCUAACCUAUUUGAAUGAUGAUGGAUCUAUGAAAAAUAUUCUCAUCAAUUUUUAAAUUGAUUUGAGAUUUAUUUGAGAUUUUAGUUCAAU